rnacentral:rRNA from 1 species
UUAAGCGACUAAGCGUACACGGUGGAUGCCCUGGCAGUCAGAGGCGAUGAAGGACGUGCUAAUCUGCGAUAAGCGUCGGUAAGGUGAUAUGAACCGUUAUAACCGGCGAUUUCCGAAUGGGGAAACCCAGUGUGUUUCGACACACUAUCAUUAACUGAAUCCAUAGGUUAAUGAGGCAACCGGGGGAACUGAAACAUCUAAGUACCCCGAGGAAAAGAAAUCAACCGAGAUUACCCCCAGUAGCGGCGAGCGAACGGGGAGCAGCCCAGAGUCUGAAUCAGUGUGUGUGUUAGUGGAAGCGUCUGGAAAGGCGCGCGAUACAGGGUGACAGCCCCGUACACAAAAAUGCACAUAUUGUGAGCUCGAUGAGUAGGGCGGGACACGUGGUAUCCUGUCUGAAUAUGGGGGGACCAUCCUCCAAGGCUAAAUACUCCUGACUGACCGAUAGUGAACCAGUACCGUGAGGGAAAGGCGAAAAGAACCCCGGCGAGGGGAGUGAAAAAGAACCUGAAACCGUGUACGUACAAGCAGUGGGAGCCUCUUUUAUGGGGUGACCGCGUACCUUUUGUAUAAUGGGUCAGCGACUUAUAUUCUGUAGCAAGGUUAACCGAAUAGGGGAGCCGAAGGGAAACCGAGUCUUAACUGGGCGUUAAGUUGCAGGGUAUAGACCCGAAACCCGGUGAUCUAGCCAUGGGCAGGUUGAAGGUUGGGUAACACUAACUGGAGGACCGAACCGACUAAUGUUGAAAAAUUAGCGGAUGACUUGUGGCUGGGGGUGAAAGGCCAAUCAAACCGGGAGAUAGCUGGUUCUCCCCGAAAGCUAUUUAGGUAGCGCCUCGUGAAUUCAUCUCCGGGGGUAGAGCACUGUUUCGGCAAGGGGGUCAUCCCGACUUACCAACCCGAUGCAAACUGCGAAUACCGGAGAAUGUUAUCACGGGAGACACACGGCGGGUGCUAACGUCCGUCGUGAAGAGGGAAACAACCCAGACCGCCAGCUAAGGUCCCAAAGUCAUGGUUAAGUGGGAAACGAUGUGGGAAGGCCCAGACAGCCAGGAUGUUGGCUUAGAAGCAGCCAUCAUUUAAAGAAAGCGUAAUAGCUCACUGGUCGAGUCGGCCUGCGCGGAAGAUGUAACGGGGCUAAACCAUGCACCGAAGCUGCGGCAGCGACGCUUAUGCGUUGUUGGGUAGGGGAGCGUUCUGUAAGCCUGUGAAGGUGUGCUGUGAGGCAUGCUGGAGGUAUCAGAAGUGCGAAUGCUGACAUAAGUAACGAUAAAGCGGGUGAAAAGCCCGCUCGCCGGAAGACCAAGGGUUCCUGUCCAACGUUAAUCGGGGCAGGGUGAGUCGACCCCUAAGGCGAGGCCGAAAGGCGUAGUCGAUGGGAAACAGGUUAAUAUUCCUGUACUUGGUGUUACUGCGAAGGGGGGACGGAGAAGGCUAUGUUGGUCGGGCGACGGUUGUCCCGGUUUAAGCGUGUAGGCUGGUUUUCCAGGCAAAUCCGGAAAAUCAAGGCUGAGGCGUGAUGACGAGGCACUACGGUGCUGAAGCAACAAAUGCCCUGCUUCCAGGAAAAGCCUCUAAGCAUCAGGUAACAUCAAAUCGUACCCCAAACCGACACAGGUGGUCAGGUAGAGAAUACCAAGGCGCUUGAGAGAACUCGGGUGAAGGAACUAGGCAAAAUGGUGCCGUAACUUCGGGAGAAGGCACGCUGAUAUGUAGGUGAAGUCCCUCGCGGAUGGAGCUGAAAUCAGUCGAAGAUACCAGCUGGCUGCAACUGUUUAUUAAAAACACAGCACUGUGCAAACACGAAAGUGGACGUAUACGGUGUGACGCCUGCCCGGUGCCGGAAGGUUAAUUGAUGGGGUCAGCGCAAGCGAAGCUCUUGAUCGAAGCCCCGGUAAACGGCGGCCGUAACUAUAACGGUCCUAAGGUAGCGAAAUUCCUUGUCGGGUAAGUUCCGACCUGCACGAAUGGCGUAAUGAUGGCCAGGCUGUCUCCACCCGAGACUCAGUGAAAUUGAACUCGCUGUGAAGAUGCAGUGUACCCGCGGCAAGACGGAAAGACCCCGUGAACCUUUACUAUAGCUUGACACUGAACAUUGAGCCUUGAU